rnacentral:rRNA from 1 species
CCUACGGGGCGCAGCAGUGGGGAAUAUUGCACAAUGGGCGAAAGCCUGAUGCAGCAACGCCGCGUGAAGGAAGAAGGGUUUCGGCUCGUAAACUUCUAUCAACAGGGACGAAAGAAAUGACGGUACCUGACUAAGAAGCCCCGGCUAACUACGUGCCAGCAGCCGCGGUAAUACGUAGGGGGCAAGCGUUAUCCGGAUUUACUGGGUGUAAAGGGGGCGCAGACGGCCAUGGCAAGCCCGGUGUGGAAGGCAGGGGCAUAACCCCUGGACUGCACUGGGAACUGUCAGGCUGG